rnacentral:rRNA from 1 species
GUCCUUUAGAAUUUAAUUUAAGGUCUAACCUGCCCACUGAAAUUAAUUUAAAUGGCCGCAGUAAUUUGACUGUGCAAAGGUAGCAUAAUCAUUAGUUUUUUAAUUAAAAGCUUGCAUGAAAGGUUGGACGAGGUAAAAUCUGUCUCUAUUUAAUUAAAGUUAGAAUUUAACUUUUAAGUUAAAAGGCUUAAAUUUUAUUAAAAGACGAGAAGACCCUAUAGAUCUUUAUAAUUUAUUUAAUAAUUUUAAUUAAGAUUUUUUAUGAUAUUAUUAAUAUAAUUAUUUUAUUGGGGUAAUAUAAAGAUUAAAAUAAUUCUUUUUUUUUAUUUACAUUAAUAUAUGAAUUUCAUGAUCCAAUAUUAUUGAUUAUAAGAUUAAGUUACCUUAGGGAUAACAGCGUAAUUUUUUUAGAGAGUUCUUAUCGAUAAAAAAGUUUGCGACCUCGAUGUUGGAUUAAAGAUUAUUUCAGGGGUAGAAGUUUGAAAAUUUUGGUCUGUUCGACCAUUAAAUCUUUACA